rnacentral:rRNA from 1 species
CCUACGGGAGGCAGCAGUCGAGAAUCUUCCGCAAUGGGCGAAAGCCUGACGGAGCGACGCCGCGUGGAGGACGAAGGCCUUCGGGUUGUAAACUCCUGUCACGAGUUAAGAAGGCGCCUGUGCGAACAGCGCAGGCGUUUGACGUAAGCUCGAGAGGAAGCACUGGCUAACUCUGUGCCAGCAGCCGCGGUAAUACAGAGAGUGCAAACGUUGUUCGGAAUUACUGGGCUUAAAGCGCGCGUAGGCGGCAUCGUUAGUGUCUGGUGAAAUCCCACGGCUCACCCGUGGAACUGCCGGGCAUACUGCGGUGCUAGAGUGUGGUAGGGGAGAGCGGAACUCCUGGUGGAGCGGUGAAAUGCGUAGAUAUCAGGAGGAACACCGGUGGCGAAGGCGGCUCUCUGGUCCAUAACUGACGCUGAGGUGCGAAAGCUAGGGGAGCAAACGGGAUUAGAUACCCCGGUAGUCCUAGCUGUAAACGAUGGGCACUAGCUUGGGGUCUCCCUGUGUGAUCCCAGGUGAAGCAAAAGUGAUAAGUGCCCCGCCUGGGGAGUAUGGUCGCAAGGCUGAAACUCAAAUGAAUUGACGG